CGAACGGAUCGCAUUAUGAUCAUAUUAUUAUGAUUGGCGAUAGAUCAUUCAAGUUUCUGACCUAUCAGCUUUCGACGGUAGUGUAUUGGACUACCGUGGCAGUGACGGGUAACGGGGAAUUAGGGUUCGAUUCCGGAGAGGGAGCCUGAGAAACGGCUACCACAUCUAAGGAAGGCAGCAGGCGCGCAAAUUACCCAAUCCUGACUCAGGGAGGUAGUGACAAGAAAUAACAACACUGGAAAUUUUAUUUCUAGUGAUUGGAAUGAUGGGAAUCCAAACCCCUUUCAGAGUAACAAUUGGAGGGCAAGUCUGGUGCCAGCAGCCGCGGUAAUUCCAGCUCCAAUAGCGUAUAUUAAAGUUGUUGCAGUUAAAAAGCUCGUAGUUGGAUAUCUGCUGGAAGCAAUCAGUCCGCCCUAUUUUAGGGUGUGCACUUGAUGAAUUCUGGCAUCUAUUAUUCUUAAUAURAUGAUUAUUGAAUUGAUUUUCAAUAAUCAUUAUUAGGAAUAAUACAGUUACUUUGAGAAAAUUAGAGUGUUUGAAGCAGGCUUAUUGCCUUGAAUACUGCAGCAUGGAAUAACAAUAUAGGAUUUCGGUUCUAUUAUUUUGUUGGUUUGUAGGACUGAAAUAAUGAUUAAUAGGGACAGUUGGGGGCAUUCGUAUUUAACUGUCAGAGGUGAAAUUCUUAGAUUUGUUAAAGACGAACUACUGCGAAAGCAUUUGCCAAGGAUGUUUUCAUUAAUCAAGAACGAAAGUUAGGGGCUCGAAGACGAUCAGAUACCGUCGUAGUCUUAACCAUAAACUAUGCCGACUA
rnacentral:rRNA from 1 species